UCCACGUGUUCGACCAGGGCCAGUUUGCCA
rnacentral:piRNA from 1 species